rnacentral:rRNA from 1 species
CCUACGGGUGGCAGCAGUGGGGAAUAUUGCACAAUGGGGGAAACCCUGAUGCAGCGACGCCGCGUGUGUGAAGAAGGAUUUCGGUAUGUAAAGCUCUAUCAGCAGGGAAGAUAAUGACGGUACCUGACUAAGAAGCCCCGGCUAACUACGUGCCAGCAGCCGCGGUAAUACGUAGGGGGCAAGCGUUAUCCGGAAUUACUGGGUGUAAAGGGAGCGUAGACGGUUAAGUAAGUCUGUAGUGAAAGGCCGGGGCCCAACCCCGGGACUGCUCUGGAAACUGUUGAGCUUGAGUGCAGGAGAGGUAAGCGGAAUUCCAGGUGGAGCGGUGAAAUGCGUAGAUAGUAGGAGGAACACCAGUGGCGAAGGCGGCUUACUGGACUGUAACUGACGUUGAGGCACGAAAGCGUGGGGAGCAAACAGGAUUAGAUACCCCGGUAGUC